rnacentral:rRNA from 1 species
UACGAAGGGUGCAACGUUGCUCGGAAUUAUUGGGCGUAAAGCGCACGUAGGCGGCCGACUAAGUCGGGUGUGAAAGCCCAGGGCUCAACCCUGGAAGUGCACUCGAAACUGACCGGCUUGAAUAUGGAAGAGGGUCGCGGAAUUCCCGGGUGAUAGAGGUGAAAUUCGUAGAUAUCGGGAGGAACACCAGUGGCGAAGGCGGCGACCU